AGAGUUGUUCCAUACUUGCUUUUGAAACAGGCUCCCCGCAUAUUCCAGCGGUCAACUGUUUCGGAGCUUGUUUCUUUUGUGUCCCGCCAGAUGCUAAUAUUUAGCUCGGGCGGUGUGAUGAAUGCUUUGGUGCCUGUGUUGGCUACUUAUUAUGGGAAAAUGUUGGUUUUGUUACUACGGCAUGUCUUGUUGCCUUCGAUUAUGAUUUUCAUAAUGUUGCGUUGUGCAAUUGAAACAUCGGCUUUUAUUGGGAGCGAUUGAUGGGUCUUUGACUCGUCCGCAGCUCGCAUCAUAUUAUAUGAGCAGCUCUUUCGGAUACGGUGGCUAUGUGGGUACUUGCGGUCCUCUUUGCUCCGCAUGCGACCUUGUAGUACACUCGUAAAAGUUCAUCGUGCGGUUGGAUCUAGGGGCAUCUUUGYGUUCCUGUUUUUGCUCUCAUGCCGGAGCAAAGGCGGGGUGUGGGGAUGCAGAUGCUGGUUUACGGGGGCAUUGUUGUACGCGUGGGUGUUCUAUGAAUUAAUAGUGAUUGCCGUUGCGUGCGUGCGUAUUGGUAUCCCGUCCGGGAGUGCCUUAGCAAUUCGCAGGCUUCACU
rnacentral:misc_RNA from 1 species